GUGCUUUUAGAUGGGGAUAGAUCUAGACCAUUAUUAUCUAGCCAUUUUUUAAGAAAUUGUAAUGCUGCAGAAAGGGAAUCGCUAAUCUCGUUAAUUAAUCGGCCGGCAACAUAGAAAAGCAAAUCGUCCGCAUAUUGCAGAACUUUUACACAUUUAUUUAUGGAUACUUCUAAAUCAAUAGUAUAAAUGUUGUAAAGAAUUGGACUCAUUACGGAACCCUGAGUAUCAGGAUAUUAACAUUAUCAUAAGCUGCGGUUAUAUCUAGAAAACCAGCUAUUACAGAGUCAUUUCUAGAAAACGCUAAUCUAAUAUCUGUGACAAAAAUCCCCAAACUGUCAAAAGUGCUCUUACCUUUCCUAAAUCCUAGCUGACUAUCUGAGAAUAAUCCAUUGUGUUCUAAAAACCAUUCGAGGCGAUUUUUUAUUAAAUGUUCCGAUAUUUUCGCCAAUACAGUAGAUAGAGCUAUGGGACGAUAUGAUGAAGGUUCGGAACUUGGUUUAUCUGGCUUUAGUAACAAGAUUAAAGUUUGUGUUCUCCAAGAACUGGGAAUAUUACCUGAUGUCAUAGCUGUGUUGAUUAAAGAGAGAUAAUAAUUAAGAGCAUCUUCGUCUAAAUGUACUAUAAAAGAGUAUGGAAUGCCGUCUUCACCAGGCGCCGAGUCUUUAAUAACAGAAAGUACACCUUUUAAUUCAUUGACAGUGAAGGAUGAAUUGAGAUCAAAUGUAGAAUCAUUAUUAUUAACUAUUUCUGUAUUAAUAGUUAAAGGAUUUACAUGGAGCUGUUCUGGAACGAAAGUUGUACCAGUUGGCAUUACUUAAUUUAUAUCUCAUACGGGGCUGUUUCAUCUGCUGCAAGGGUUUUGAAAAAGGAAAAGUAAUUAAUAAUGGAUAAUGAUCACUAUUAUAACUAUAGUUUAGCGGACACCAAACAAGAGAUGAAGCGAGAUCUGGUGUACAUAUAGAUAAGUCUGGUGAGCUGAGACCUUCAGUGGGUCUUGUGAUGCGUGUUGGCAUACCAGUAUUUAAAAUACAUAAGUUAUGGGAGUCAAUUAACUCCAAUAAUUGGUCACCAUAACUAUUGGAUGAAGAGGAACCCCAAGUCUGAUGAAAGCGACCAAAUGUGACGGGAUGCAAUGUUGUGUUGCUGUUAUCAUCUGAGAAUUCCCUCUGGACAUGAAUUAUAUAUGGUGCUGCAUCUGAUGGCUGAUACCUAGUGCGAGCAAUAGGUGUUCGAGUGAUUUCAGUGUUUUGUGUAAUAUUAUUGUUAAGAGCAGUAGAAACUGCAUUUUGAGAUUUGGAAUUGACUUCAGAAUCUUUAUUAUUAUAUUGAUCUAU